rnacentral:rRNA from 1 species
UACAGAGGGUGCGAGCGUUGUUCGGAAUUAUUGGGCGUAAAGCGCAUGUAGGCGGUUUGUUAAGUCGCGUGUGAAAGCUCCAGGCUCAACCUGGAAAGUGCGCGCGAAACUGGCGAACUUGAGUGCCGGAGAGGGUGGCGGAAUUCCCGGUGUAGAGGUGAAAUUCGUAGAUAUCGGGAGGAACACCAAUGGCGAAGGCAGCACUCUGGGACGGUACUGACGCUGAGACGCGAAAGCGUGGGGAGCAAACAGG